rnacentral:rRNA from 1 species
GACGAACGCUGGCGGCGUGCUUAACACAUGCAAGUCGAGCGGUAAGGCCCUUUCGGGGGUACACGAGCGGCGAACGGGUGAGUAACACGUGGGUGACCUGCCCUCAGCUCUGGGAUAAGCCUGGGAAACCGGGUCUAAUACUGGAUAUGACUCCAUGACGCAUGUUGUGGGGUGGAAAGCCUUGUGCGGCUGAGGAUGGGCCCGCGGCCUAUCAGCUUGUUGGUGGGGUGAGGCCUACCAAGGCGACGACGGGUAGCCGGCCUGAGAGGGCGACCGGCCACACUGGGACUGAGACAUGGCCCAGACUCCUACGGGAGGCAGCAGUGGGGAAUCUUGCGCAAUGGGCGAAAGCCUGACGCAGCGACGCCGCGUGAGGGAUGACGGCCU